AUUAACAAUUGGGCACCACAGUGUCAGGCCUUCAUACUGAGAACAAAAAGUAGUCCAGGACAUGUAGUGCAAACAGGGCUCCUUCAUAGGUUCACUUUCUAAAUC